rnacentral:rRNA from 1 species
AUUGAACGCUGGCGGCGUGCUUAACACAUGCAAGUCGAGCGGAAAGGCCCCUUGUGGGUACUCGAGCGGCGAACGGGUGAGUAACACGUGAGUAAUCUGCCCUUCACUUCAGGAUAGCUCCCGGAAACGGGGAUUAAUACUGGAUAUGACACAUUCGCGCAUGUGGGUGUGUGGAAAGUUUUUUCGGUGGGGGAUGUGCUCGCGGCCUUGUAGCUUGAUGGUGGGGUAAUGGCCUACCAUGGCUUCGACGGGUAGCAGGCCUGAGAUGGUGACCGGUCACGCGAGGACUGGGAGACGGGCAAGACUACUACGGGAGGUAACAGCGGGGAAUAUUGGACCAUGGGCGGAAGCCUGAUCCGGCAACACCGCGUGAGGGAUGACGGCCUUCGUGUUGUAAGCCUCUUUCGGCACAGACGAAGCGCAAGUGACGGUAUGUGCAGCAGAAGGACCGGCCAACUACGUGCCAGCAGCCGCGGUAAGAC